CACACACACACACACUCCAAACCCCCAAAGAGCCUGUGGGUUAACAGCCCAGAGUCAACAGUGCGGAUACAGGCACCAGCCCUGUUUACCCUGCGAUUACGGUUAAGCCCACAGCACACAGCUCUUCUUGCACUGAACACAACUCUGAGAGGCUCACAGUCACCUCACGGCGUCAAGUGUGUGUUUAUUAAGUCAGAGUUUCUGCGAUCUUGCUUUCUUUUUGUUUUGUUUUUUCCUUUCCAGGAACAAUUGUGUAGGAGUGGUCAUCAAAGGCAUGAGAAACCACACGGAAGAUAAAAGAGACAGCAACAGUGGGAUGGUGCUAGGGUCACAAGAAACGUGUUGAGAAAAAAAUACGCAAAUAACUGCCAAAGAAUUCAUAACAAUCGAAGGUGAAGCGAGCAGGAGCCCGGUGUCCUCAUAGAACUGCAGCCUACGUGGAGCGCCCAGAAGUACAAGGUGUUCAGUACUCAGAGACAUUGCCAAGGUUUUAUGGACUGAUGAGGCGAGAGCGACUCUUGACGCACCUGAUGGACGGGACCGUGGCUGGAUCAGUAACGGGCACAGAGCUCCACUUCAACUCAGACGUCAGCAAG